rnacentral:rRNA from 1 species
UACGUAGGGUGCGAGCGUUGUCCGGAAUUAUUGGGCGUAAAGAGCGUGUAGGCGGUUCGGUAAGUCUGCUGUGAAAGUCGGGGGCUCAACCCUCGAAUGCCGGUGGAUACUGUCGGGCUAGAGUCCGGAAGAGGCGAGUGGAAUUCCCGGUGUAGUGGUGAAAUGCGUAGAUAUCGGGAGGAACACCAGUGGCGAAGGCGACUUCUUGGCCUGUUCUUGACGCUGAGGCGCGAAAGCGUGGGGAGCAAACAGG